rnacentral:lncRNA from 1 species
AUUGAAAAAAUGUUUUACAAUUUGUUAUGUGAAACGAUUUUCCAAGUUUUUUUACAUGUUUUUUUUUAAUUUUUUGCCUCCUUCACUCCUGCCAAACAGCCAAAUUUUGAGAUCAGUGAGAUGAACACCCAUACACCAUGCGCCCGCGAUAUUUGAUGCACUUUAGACUUCGCUAGUGCGUUCCUUUCCUCGGGUGUAAAUAGCCGGGUGGAAUUAGUACCCUCGCCCACGGCUUACGCCCGGAACGGCGCUUGCUCGGGGAUAAAUCACC